rnacentral:lncRNA from 1 species
UGUUGGGUAUUUUUUGGUAAGUGAUACCCAAAUCCCCUAGGCAAUGAUGAAAAUCGAGGCCCGUUUAACUUCAUAGGCUAUAAGCCUAAUAUUGAAGAACAUAUUAGACCCACACCACAAUUAAUGUAACCCAAUUGUGUUGGGUAUUUGGAGGAAAUCAGCCCAUUGGGCUAGAUGCUCAAUACCCGACUAUGGAGAUAAAUGAAAUCACAAAAGAUAGAAUUGGUUGCAAAUAAUUAUCUCGUGAUAAUUAUCCUAUCCCUACUGUUUCUGUUGGACUCAAAUUUAAACUUCCCUGUUAUCUUGGAGAUUUGAUUUCCCUCGUGAUAAUAUACAAGAGUUUUAAUAUAUCCAAACACUCAACCAAUUUGAAAUAAAGAGAGAAGUCGGCUGCCUUCUUCUUCCAAGCG